rnacentral:rRNA from 1 species
CUACGGGUCGCUGCAGUGAGGAAUAUUGCACAAUGGGGGGAACCCUGAUGCAGCAACGCCGCGUGGAGGAUGACGCAUUUCGGUGUGUAAACUCCUUUUAUAUGUCAAGAAAAUGACGGUAGCAUAUGAAUAAGCACCGGCUAACUCCGUGCCAGCAGCCGCGGUAAUACGGAGGGGUGCAAGCGUUACUCGGAAUCACUGGGCGUAAAGGACGCGUAGGCGGGUUGGUAAGUCAGGUGUGAAAUCCUACAGCUUAACUGUAGAACUGCACUUGAAACUUCUAAUCUAGAGUAUGGGAGGGGGAGAUGGAAUUAGUGGUGUAGGGGUAAAAUCCGUAGAUAUCACUAGGAAUACCUAAAGCGAAGGCGAUCUCCUGGAACAUUACUGACGCUAAGGCGUGAAAGCGUGGGGAGCAAACAGGAUUAGAUACCCGAGUAGUC